rnacentral:lncRNA from 1 species
UUGUUAUUCUCCUUGCUUGAUAUUUUUUUUCUUUUUCUUCUUUCUGCUGAAUUUCUUCAUAAAUUUGAUAAAACCAAGCACCCGUUUCCAUGUCUCAAUCAUAGGAACUUUAAUCUCCAAUAUCUUGAAGAUCUCCUUAAAGCACUUACAUUUGUUUUCCUUCCUAUGAUGCUUCUUUGCAUGAGGAAGGAGUUUUUCAUAUGAUCUUUUCUUUUUUCCUCUCAUCCUCUUUUUCUUACUU